GCCAGCAGCCGCGGUAACACCGGCAGCUCUAGUGGUAGCAAUUUUAUUGGGCCUAAAGCGUCCGUAGCCGGUUUAAUAAGUCUCUGGUGAAAUCCUGCAGCUUAACUGUGGGAAUUGCUGGAGAUACUAUUAGACUUGAGACCGGGAGAGGUUAGAGGUACUCCCAGGGUAGAGGUGAAAUUCUGUAAUCCUGGGAGGACCGCCUGUUGCGAAGGCGUCUAACUGGAACGGUUCUGACGGUGAGGGACGAAAGUUAGGGGCGCGAACCGGAUUAGAUACCCGGGUAGUCCUAACUGUAAACGGUGCGGACUUGGUGUUGGGGUGGCUUUGAGCUGCUUCAGUGCCGAAGGGAAGCUGUUAAGUCCGCCGCCUGGGAAGUACGGUCGCAAGGCUGAAACUUAAAGGAAUUGGCGGGGGAGCACCACAACGCGUGGAGCCUGCCGGUUUAAUUGGAUUCAACGCCGGACAUCUCACCAGAGGCGACAGCUGUAUGAUAGCCAGGUUGAUGACUUUGCUUGACUAGCUGAGAAGAGGUGCAUGG
rnacentral:rRNA from 1 species